GAGAGUUUGAUUAUGGCUCAGAUUGAACGCUGGCGGCAGGCUUAACACAUGCAAGUCGAACGGUAGCAGGAGAAAGCUUGCUUUCUUGCUGACGAGUGGCGGACGGGUGAGUAAUGCUUGGGAAUCUGGCUUAUGGAGGGGGAUAACUACGGGAAACUGUAGCUAAUACCGCGUAGAAUCGGAAGAUGAAAGUGCGGGACCGCAAGGCCGCAUGCCAUGAGAUGAGCCCAAGUGGGAUUAGGUAGUUGGUGGGGUAAAGGCCUACCAAGCCUGCGAUCUCUAGCUGGUCUGAGAGGAUGGCCAGCCACACUGGAACUGAGACACGGUCCAGACUCCUACGGGAGGCAGCAGUGGGGAAUAUUGCGCAAUGGGGGGAACCCUGACGCAGCCAUGCCGCGUGAAUGAAGAAGGCCUUCGGGUUGUAAAGUUCUUUCGGUAUUGAGGAAGGAGUGUAUGUUAAUAGCAUACAUUAUUGACGUUAAAUACAGAAGAAGCACCGGCUAACUCCGUGCCAGCAGCCGCGGUAAUACGGAGGGUGCGAGCGUUAAUCGGAAUAACUGGGCGUAAAGGGCACGCAGGCGGUUAUUUAAGUGAGGUGUGAAAGCCCCGGGCUUAACCUGGGAAUUGCAUUUCAGACUGGGUAACUAGAGUACUUUAGGGAGGGGUAGAAUUCCACGUGUAGCGGUGAAAUGCGUAGAGAUGUGGAGGAAUACCGAAAGCGAACGCAGCCCCUUGGGAAUGUACUGACGCUCAUGUGCGAAAGCGUGGGGAGCAAACAGAUUAGAUACCCUGGUAGUCCACGCUGUAAACGCUGUCGAUUUGGGGAUUGGGCUUAAAGCUUGUGCCCGUAGCUACGUGAUAAAUCGACGCUGGGGAGUACGCGCAAGUUAAACUCAAUGAUGACGGGGCCGCACAGCGUGAGCAUGUGUAUCGAGCACGCGAGACUACAGUCUGACAUCCUCUGACGGUCUAGAGAUGAGUUCUCGACGAGUGAGGUGUGCAUGGUGCGUCAGCUCAGUCUGGAAUGUGUAAGUCCGACAGCCAACCCGAUGUAUGCAUCAUUGUGACCUUAGCGACUGCGAUACCGGGAGGUGGAUAGCUAUCUGCCUGAGCCGUUACACGUCAAUGCUGU
rnacentral:rRNA from 1 species